AUUGAACGCUGGCGGCAGGCCUAACACAUGCAAGUCGAACGGUAACAGGAAGCAGCUUGCUGCUUUGCUGACGAGUGGCGGACGGGUGAGUAAUGUCUGGGAAACUGCCUGAUGGAGGGGGAUAACUACUGGAAACGGUAGCUAAUACCGCAUAACGUCGCAAGCCCAAAGAGGGGGACCUUCGGGCCUCUUGCCAUCGGAUGUGCCCAGAUGGGAUUAGCUAGUAGGUGGGGUAACGGCUCACCUAGGCGACGAUCCCUAGCUGGUCUGAGAGGAUGACCAGCCACACUGGAACUGAGACACGGUCCAGACUCCUACGGGAGGCAGCAGUGGGGAAUAUUGCACAAUGGGCGCAAGCCUGAUGCAGCCAUGCCGCGUGUAUGAAGAAGGCCUUCGGGUUGUAAAGUACUUUCAGCGGGGAGGAAGGGAGUAAAGUUAAUACCUUUGCUCAUUGACGUUACCCGCAGAAGAAGCACCGGCUAACUACGUG
rnacentral:rRNA from 1 species